AACGAUUAUGCGUGCAAAGAUGUUAUCAUGGUGUCACUGUUUGCCGGUAAUAUAAUGGAAGCUCUUCCUCGUGCAUUCAUUGACGACUGGUUUAGUAGUUUUCGUCUAGACAGCAGGCACAAUGGUGGAAUGCCUUACUUUUAUGUGACGGAUCAAGUGGCAUAUUUGGCAUUCAUGGCAUGUCCAAGGGGAAACUUGCUAAAGCCCGGGCGAGGUUUCAGAGUCCAUAUUUCAGAAACAGAUUACCCAUAUUGUCAUGGAAGUUUAUGGUUAACACACUGUAAACCACAAUCAAUUGGUGUAAUUACGAACAGUUUCGCGGGCUGGCUCGAGUCUCCUUCAGUAGAGUAGAUCAGUACUGAUGGUCUAUACGUCAAACUGUCGACAGCCUUGUUAUGACAUUAAAACUUGAAGACUUUGAUAUCAGCUGUAACUCAGGUUGGGAUUAUAAGUUGUAUUUCAUCAAGAUGAUCGAUUAAAGAAGAAAUGACUUACAUGUAUACUAAAAGCAUAGUAUUUAUGCGCAUUUAAAAACUGUUUAAGGUAAAACAUUUGAAUUAUAACUGGCUAUUAUAGCUAAAUGUGCAAUUAUAAUUCUAAUAUUUAAGUAGCCAAUGUGUAUGAUCAAACCUAUAUUUGUGGAUAAAACUCGCUUCUUUACCUAACUCUUACGGCUACGCACUUACUUCCGCUAUAUGUUUCGAAUAAACAAGGUAAGUUGGAUUUGUCAUGGCCUCAUUUAUCA
rnacentral:lncRNA from 1 species